rnacentral:rRNA from 1 species
CACGUAGGGCGCAAGCGUUGUCCGGAAUUACUGGGCGUAAAGCGUGCGCAGGCGGUUCGCUAAGACCGAUGUGAAAUCCCCGGGCUUAACCUGGGAACUGCAUUGGUGACUGGCGGGCUAGAGUAUGGCAGAGGGGGGUAGGAAUUCCACGUGUAGCAGUGAAAUGCGUAGAGAUGUGGAGGAAUACCGAUGGCGAAGGCAGCCCCCUGGGCCAAUACUGACGCUCAUGCACGAAAGCGUGGGGAGCAAACAGG